CCUACGGGAGGCAGCAGUGGGGAAUAUUGCACAAUGGGCGAAACCCUGAUGCAGCCACGCCGCGUGAGUGAAGAAGUCCUUCGGUAUGUAAAGCUCUUUCAGCAGGGAAGAAAAUGACUGUACCUGUGUACUUAGCGCCUGCUAUUUACCGGCCAGCAGGCGCCGUCAUACGGAGGGGGCACGCGUUAUCCGGACUGACUGGUGGUAAAGGGAGCGUGGAUGGGUGUGCAAGUCUGAAGUGAAAGGCGUGGGCUCAACCCGCGGACUGCACUCGAAACUGUACGGCUGGAGUGCAGGAGAGGUGAGUGGAAUUCCAGGUGUAGCGGUGAAAUGCGUAGAUAUUAGGAGGAACACCGGUGGCGAAGGCGGCUUACUGGACUGUAACUGACGUUGAGGCUCGAAAGCGUGGGGAGCAAACAGGAUUAGAUACCCUGGUAGUC
rnacentral:rRNA from 1 species